UACGUAGGCAGCGAGCGUUGUUCGGAGUUACUGGGCGUAAAGAGUGCGUAGGCGGUUUUCUAAGUUUGGUGUGAAAUCUCCCGGCUCAACUGGGAGGGUGCGCCGAAGACUGGAAGGCUUGAGUAUGGGAGAGGUAAGCGGAAUUCCUGGUGUAGCGGUGAAAUGUGUAGAUAUCAGGAGGAACACCUGCGGUGUAGACGGCUUACUGGACCAUAACUGACGCUGAGGCACGAAAGCGUGGGUAGCAAACAGG
rnacentral:rRNA from 1 species